GUGGCGAACGGGUGAGUAACAAGUGGGCAAUCUGCCCUUCACUCUGGGACAAGCCCUGGAAACGGGGUCUAAUACCGGAUAACACUCCUACUCGCAUGGGUGGGGGUUGAAAGCUCCGGCGGUGAAGGAUGAGCCCGCGGCCUAUCAGCUUGUUGGUGAGGUAGUGGCUCACCAAGGCGACGACGGGUAGCCGGCCUGAGAGGGCGACCGGCCACACUGGGACUGAGACACGGCCCAGACUCCUACGGGAGGCAGCAGUGGGGAAUAUUGCACAAUGGGCGAAAGCCUGAUGCAGCGACGCCGCGUGAGGGAUGACGGCCUUCGGGUUGUAAACCUCUUUCAGCAGGGAAGAAGCGAAAGUGACGGUACCUGCAGAAGAAGCGCCGGCUAACUACGUGCCAGCAGCCGCGGUAAUACGUAGGGCGCAAGCGUUGUCCGGAAUUAUUGGGCGUAAAGAGCUCGUAGGCGGUCUGUCGCGUCGGAUGUGAAAGCCCGGGGCUUAACCCCGGGUCUGCAUUUCGAUACGGGCAGACUAGAGUGUGGUAGGGGAGAUCGGAAUUCCUGGUGUAGCGGUGAAAUGCGCAGAUAUCAGGAGGAACACCGGUGGCGAAGGCGGAUC
rnacentral:rRNA from 1 species